rnacentral:rRNA from 1 species
CUUCUCCUAAAGACUAAGCCAUGCAUGUCUGACUAGAAGGGCGAUUCUCUCUGAAUCUGCGAACGGCUCCACACACCAGUUGUAAACCAUAACAAGUUGCUCGAGGGCCGGCCGCAAGGCCGACCCAAAAGCUACAAGGACAUCCCCGGUAAUUCUGAGGCUAAUACAUGCAAGUAACCCCCACUUAACCAGGCAACUGGGAGGGUGGGGUGUGUGUCCAUUAGCCGUAACUCAGAAUUACCGGAGAGUGUUCACAUUCGAACUGCUUUCAACACAGUUUGGGAUCCCCCUUCCUUCCUCGGGGGGAAGGGCCCCAUUCUGGGCAGGCCUUGUACGGUGCUUCUGACCUAUCAACUAGAUGGCAGCGUAACGGACAUGCUAUGGUUUCAACGGGUACAGAGGAUAAGGGUUCGAUCCUGGAGAGUGGGCCUGAGAGAUCGCUCACACUUCUAAGGAAGGCAGCAGGGCGCAACGUUCCCCUUGUGCAAUAUGAGGGCGUUAGGGGAUAUGAAUGUCUGCCUUAUGGUGGACAAUUCAAAUGGGUUUGUUCUAAACAACCUUUCGAGUAACAAUUAGAGGACAAGUCUGGUAAACGAUGCCAGAUGUCGGACAUUCCAAUAUUCGAUCGCUAUUAAUGGAGUACCUUCCCUAAAUUCGAUUAAGCUAUUAUGAGGGUGGGUCCUUCCGAAGGCGGCUAACCACCGCUGGAGGGGGGGUUCGGCAGAAAGCCGGGUGAGCUCCGGUUGUACAGCUGUAAAUUGCGGGGAACGCCAGGCAUGGGAAAGCUACCAAAGCCUUCGGGAAAUACAUAACCAAGGUCCGCCUUCGGGUGGGGUAACAAUGCGAUCCCAGGGGGCUAACAGUCCAGCCCAGCCGACCAUCCUACUACCAAGGGUGGGAAGCACCACACUGGCCAAUCCGCAGCCAAGUCGCUAUCCUUCCCCGCAAGGGGGAGAGUGCGGAAGGUUCAGAGACUAUAAUCAGUUGGGCGAAAGCUUAAGGGAUAGUCCACUCCCACUGGUAACAGUGCCGGCAGAAGUAAGGAGGAGUAGCUCCCUCCCGAGGCAUGCCGGGUCCUACAAGUGCGGGGUUAAAUGCCCGUGCGAUGCUACAGGACGGUUCUAUAGGGCCAGCACCCGCGGUAAUUCCAGCUCUAAUAGCAUACGUUAAAGUUGUUGCGGUUAAAACGCUCGUAGUCUGCAUAAGAUCCUCAGAAGCCUUUCGCUAGGUCCUUAGGUUCGUCGCCCUGCCAAA